UGAGGAAUAUUGGUCAAUGGACGCAAGUCUGAACCAGCCAAGUAGCGUGCAGGAUGACGGCCCUAUGGGUUGUAAACUGCUUUUAUAUGGGGUUACAGUGGGGAACGUGUUCCCUUUUGCAGGUACCAUAUGAAUAAGGACCGGCUAAUUCCGUGCCAGCAGCCGCGGUAAUACGGAAGGUUCGGGCGUUAUCCGGCUUUAUUGGGUUUAAAGGGAGCGUAGGCCGUUUGGUAAGCGUGUUGUGAAAUGUAGGAGCUCAACUUCUAGAUUGCAGCGCGAACUGUCAGACUUGAGUGCGCACAACGUAGGCGGGAUUCAUGGUGUAGCGGUGAAAUGCUUAGAUAUCAUGAAGAACUCCGAUUGCGAAGGCAGCUUACGGGAGCGAAACUGACGCUGAAGCUCGAAGGUGCGGGUAUCGAACAGG
rnacentral:rRNA from 1 species